rnacentral:hammerhead_ribozyme from 1 species
AUGCGUCUGAUGAGUCCCAAAUAGGACGAAACUUAAGUCCUGAAU